rnacentral:rRNA from 1 species
CACUGCCGAGAAAAGCCUCUAGAUAGAAAAUAGGUGCCCGUACCGCAAACCGACACAGGUAGUCAAGAUGAGAAUUCUAAGGUGAGCGAGCGAACUCUCGUUAAGGAACUCGGCAAAAUGACCCCGUAACUUCGGGAGAAGGGGUGCUCUUUAGGGUUAACGCCCAGAAGAGCCGCAGUGAAUAGGCCCAAGCGACUGUUUAUCAAAAACACAGGUCUCUGCUAAACCGUAAGGUGAUGUAUAGGGGCUGACGCCUGCCCGGUGCUGGAAGGUUAAGAGGAGUGGUUAGCUUCUGCGAAGCUACGAAUCGAAGCCCCAGUAAACGGCGGCCGUAACUAUAACGGUCCUAAGGUAGCGAAAUUCCUUGUCGGGUAAGUUCCGACCCGCACGAAAGGCGUAACGAUUUGGGCACUGUCUCAACGAGAGACUCGGUGAAAUCAUAGUACCUGUGAAGAUGCAGGUUACCCGCGACAGGACGGAAAGACCCCGUGGAGCUUUACUGUAGCCUGAUAUUGAAAUUCGGCACAGCUUGUACAGGAUAGGUAGGAGCCUUUGAAACGUGAGCGCUAGCUUACGUGGAGGCGCUGGUGGGAUACUACCCUAGCUGUGUUGGCUUUCU